AUCAGCUAUCUCCUGAAUCACUGCCCAGUUGCCAGCUGCAAGUUUUAGCUCCAAAAAGCAGCAUCCACAGCACAAAGCCAGAAAAAUCUCUGAAGGGGCGGUGCUGUCAGAGAAUAGCAGAAGGAGUUGGUAUUAUCAAAUCAGGCACAGUUUAUAUCAGCUUCAAGAUUUCAUUGGCACAGAGAAUGAGGACUGCUCACUGACUGCAACAUCAGAAAACAUCAAUAUUCAAAUAUUAGCAUAUUGCUCAGAAGACGUGGAGGAUGGGCAGAGCACUAAUGGCCAAGGUGAAUUGCCUGAGAUGUUGACUUUGGCUUCCCAGGAGCCAUUUAUGCUUACUUUCUGGUUUGUAUUGUGAG